rnacentral:lncRNA from 1 species
CUUGCUUUAUUGUUGUACAAUGGGUAACAUUUUGCUCCUUCAAUGCCACAAUUCUUUGAUUUGAUUAUUAACUUUAUCAUAUCACCAAUAAUAAUCUUCUCAUUUAUAGUCAGUCGAUCAACAUAUGGAUGUCUAACUAAUAACUUAGCUAAUGCAUGAUUAUGACUCUCACGUAUUAACUUCUUCAUCCAUCCUUCACCUCCCAACACGGGUUUCACUUGCAGCUUAAAGAGACACCCACAUUUUCUAUUUUCAGCAAAGUACUAAAUCUUUCUUGUAUGUCGUAUAUUUUCUACUACUCUCACAACCAAUUAAAACAUAUGAGAUCCUUCCUCUAUUUUCAGUAUGUGUCUGACCUCAUUAUCACCACCACAAAAUCAGUAUCAUACACAACAGAGCGAGCCCGAUGCAAAACGUCAUCAAGGUAGCAAACACCUACAAAAGGGAUAAUACAUGUUUAGUCUUCAAGAGACAUUCAUUUUCUUACUUUAACAAAAUACAAAAUCAUGUCAAUGCAUGAGAAGUAUUGAAGACAUCAGAACAAUCAAUAUUUUCAAGCAUACUAGGUUCCUUUUCAUUGUCUCCAUUCAUAUUAAUUUCUUCAAACAUUAUUCUAUUAUAUAUCUAGUGAUCUUCGUUCAUCUUAACAAAAUAUUAAAAAAAAAAAAUCAAUGACAAACAUAUGAUCCUUAAUGACACCAUACAUAAUUCUAAUUAUUUAUAAAUAAAUCUAUUUAUUUUAAAAAACUUCCAUGUUAAAUUUUUUUAAUACCUUCUACACUACAUAAGUAUGUCAAUAUAUCAAUAAAUAUGUUUUUUAACAUAUAGUAUCACACAAUUUUAUUAUUUUUUACUGCAUAUACUAAUAUAUUAUAUUGAAAUUGAUAAUCACAUAUAU